rnacentral:misc_RNA from 1 species
GAAAUGCGAUAAGUAGUGUGAAUUGCAGAAUUCAGUGAAUCAUCGAAUCUUUGAACGCACAUUGCGCCCCUUGGUAUUCCAUGGGGCAUGCCUGUUCGAGUAUCAUGAAAUCUUCAAAGUAAAUCUUUUGUUAACUCAAUUGGUUUCUACUUUGGUAUUGGAGGUCUUUGCAGCUUCACACCUGCUCCUCUUUGUUCAUUAGCUGGAUCUCAGUGUUAUGCUUGGUUCCACUCGGCGUGAUAAGUUAUCUAUCGCUGAGGACACUGUAAAAGGUGGCCAAGGUAAAUGCAGAUGAACCGCUUCUAAUAGUCCAUUGACUUGGACAAUACUUUUAUGAUCUGAUCUCAAAUCAGGUAGGACUACCCGCUGAACUUAAGC